AACGAACGCUGGCGGCAUGCCUAACACAUGCAAGUCGAACGAACCCUUCGGGGUUAGUGGCGCACGGGUGCGUAACGCGUGGGAAUCUGCCCUUGGCUUCGGAAUAACAGUUAGAAAUGACUGCUAAUACCGGAUGAUGUCUUCGGACCAAAGAUUUAUCGGCCAGGGAUGAGCCUGCGUAGGAUUAGGUAGUUGGUGGGGUAAAGGCCUACCAAGCCGACGAUCCUUAGCUGGUCUGAGAGGAUGAUCAGCCACACUGGGACUGAGACACGGCCCAGACUCCUACGGGAGGCAGCAGUGGGGAAUAUUGGACAAUGGGCGCAAGCCUGAUCCAGCAAUGCCGCGUGAGUGAUGAAGGCCUUAGGGUCGUAAAGCUCUUUUACCCGGGAUGAUAAUGACAGUACCGGGAGAAUAAGCUCCGGCUAACUCCGUGCCAGCCGCCGCGGUAA
rnacentral:rRNA from 1 species